AUGAUGGAGUACUAUCAUAUUGCCAACAAGAUGUUUAAUAGUGAGGAUGAAGGUUAUACAUUCUAUAACAAAUAUGGUCUUGAGAAAGGUUUUAGUGUCCGGAGAAGCUAUGUCGAGUGGGAUGGAUCCAACUGCCAUAUAAUUUUAAGGAAAUUUGUGUGUAGUCGUGAAGGGGUUCGUGAAGAGAAGCACAUGAAGAGAAAGAUGGAAGAUAGAAAGAGGAGGCCACGGAGUAUAACUCGUGUAGGGUGUAAAGCUAAAUUGGUGAUUGCAAGACAGGAGGAAACAGGUCAGUGGUUUGUCAAGGAUUUCAUCGAUGAACACAACCAUCCUCUAGCCCCACGGGAUCUGUCGUGUCUUUUGCGUUCACACAGAAGAAUUAGCGAUGAGCAGAAAGCGGACAUUGCAGACAUGGAAAAAUCUGGGAUCAGAAAACACCAUAUUAUGGAUAUCAUGUGCAUGCAAUAUGGUGGAUAUGAUGAGGUUGGAUGCAUUAUGAGGGACAUUUACAAUUUCUGCCAUGCUAACAAGCAGGAAACAAUUUCUUCCGGGGAUGCUCAAACGGUGAUCAAUCACAUGGUGGCGAGGCAAGAGCAAGAUUCAGAUUUUUUCUUCAGGUACUUGGUUGAUGAAGCUGGCCAUCUGAAGGGACUGUUCUGGUGUGAUAGUCAAUCCCGACUUGACUACGAGGCUUUCGGAGACGUUAUUGUUUUUGAUAGCACAUACAGAACCAAUAAGUACAAUCUGCCAUUUGUGCCAUUUGUCGGGUUGAAUCACCACCGCAGCACCGUUAUUUUUGCAUGUGGUAUCAUUUCACAUGAAACAAGCCAGGCAUACGAGUGGAUGUUACGGACCUUUUCUGAUGCUAUGGGACAGAAGCAUCCUAUAUCUGUGAUCACGGAUGGGGACCUUGCAAUGCAGAGAGCAAUCAGGGUGGUGUGGCUUGACUCAAACCAUAGGCUCUGUAUAUGGCACAUUCAGCAGAACAUUGUACGCCAUCUGCAUGAUGACGCGGUAAAGGAGGAAUUCCGAUCUUUCAUAUAUGAUACAUCUUCCAUUGAAGAGCAUGAGAGAAAAUGGUUACACUUCUUACAACGGAAUAAAGUAACAAGUGAGGACUCCUGGCUGCAUCAGAUGUAUAAGAUGAGAAAACUGUGGUGUGCUCCAUAUCUUGAGGGCCGUUGUUUUCUAGGAUUGAGCAGCAAUCAGCGGAGUGAGAGUUUAAACUCGGUGCUACAUACGCAUCUUGAGGCUAAGAUGACGUUGUUUCAAAUGCUAGAGCACUAUGAGCGUUGCCUUGCGUCGCGACGCUUGAACGAGGCUCUCCAAGACGUCGAGGCCUUACAGUCCGUUCCGUUCACAGAGGAAAAUGCUUCAGUUCUUGAGAAACACGCCGCGAAAGUUUUCACUCCUGCUGUGUUUAAGUUGGUCUUAUGGAGCAAAGAUGCUGUCAAAAAAUGUGAGAUCAGAGAGGUACUUGAUGCAGCAGAGGUUACCACAUACGUUGUGUCUAAGAAGGAAAGAAUGGAUAAAAAGAUCGAAGUGCGCACGGAGUCGAAGGAAGGUAUGCUUCGCAGUAUCAGUUGUUCUUGCCGCAAAUUGGAAUGCGCAGGCACACCAUGUUCUUGCCGCAAGAAGAAACACUGCCCAGGUGUUGUGUUCUCACUAGGUGGACAAUGA
rnacentral:rRNA from 1 species